rnacentral:misc_RNA from 1 species
AAAGUCGUAACAAGGUCUCCGUUGGUGAACCAGCGGAGGGAUCAUUACUGAGUUUUACAACUCCCAAACCCACUGUGAACUUACCACUGUUGCUUCGGCGGGCUCGCCCCGGUGCCUCUGUCGCCCGGAUUCAGGCGCCCGCCGGAGGCCACAAACUCUAGUUUUAUACUUGUAUUCUGAGUGGCGUAAGCAAAAAAUAAAUCAAAACUUUCAACAACGGAUCUCUUGGUUCUG